GCCCUUGGUUACAUUUUUUUAUUGCUGAGGGCAACAACUUGAAGCGGGAAAUUCAGGCACUUUCUGUCCAUUUCACAGUCAAUUUACUCAGCCUGUGCUUUCUUAGCUUCUCUAUGAGGCUGUCACAGAAGCGUCAAAGGCCUUACUAAAGUCAAGGUACACAACAUCCACUGUUCUGCCUUCAUACAACAAACUAGCCUAAUUUUAGAAGGCUGUCAGGGUACUUAGAAAACAGUUUCUCUUUGUAAAUCCAUGUUGACUAAACACAAUCACUUUCUGGUCUUUCAUGCAACAGGAAAUAGUUUUCAGGAUUAUCCACUCCAUCACUUUCAUAGUGAUUUAGGUAAGUCUAGCUGUCCUGUAUUUCCCCAGAUUUUCUUUGCUGAGAAGUGAUGUUUGCUUUCUCUCACCCUACAUUAAUUACUCCCAUCAUCAUGAUCUUUCCAAGAUAAGCAAGAAAGGCCCUGCUCAGUUACACUGAGCAGCUACCUCAGCAGUUUUGAGAGCAUUCCAUGAGACUCCAUGACUUCUAUAUUUCCAGGGUCAGUAAGAGUUCCCUAACCUGACCCUCUAACAAGCUUACAUCUUCCGUGCUCUGGGAUCUGCCACUGUUUUCACAAAUUGCUGAAGGCAGGUUUUUUCACAAAGAUCAAGUGGAAAAGACCAUUAGCACCUUGGCUUCUUCAUUAUUUAUUCUCUCCAGGUUCCUUGCCAUGUUCAGCAGUGCUUUGUCUAGAUAUUUUACUGCUGAAAUAUCUGUAGCAAUCUUUCAUAUUACUUCUCACCUCUUUCACCAAAUUCAAAUCUACAUAGCUUCAGCUUCCUAACAUCAUCCUCGCAUGCUCAGUGGCUCUAUAUAUCUCCUGGGACUGUUUAGAGUGUUUCUCCCAGCUGUCCAUUCCACACAAAGUUCCUCAAUAUGGCAGAGUCCCAGAAACACCAGACUACCUUAUCUGUUGUGCUUUUCACUAUGGGAUAACUAUGGCUGUCUUGCUCUGAAGCCUUUCAAAUACCGCCUGUCUUGGCAGGCAUCUCAAAUACAGCCACAUAUCAUCCAGACAUCAAAGGCAAGAGGAGAGGAGCAUGUGCAGGUGACUUUUCAUUAAAACUCCCCUUUGUUUUACUUUUGGCUCAGACAAGCUAUUCAUUAAGUUUUCCGGGCUCUCUGAUCACCUAGACACAAUCUCUUGUAGCAUUCAUAAGCAUUUUGCCUGCUCCUGUCACAGGGAUUAGGGGCAUCAAGGCUGGCUAGAAAAUAAUUUCAUCAAAGAUUUCAAGUUUCUUUAGUUAAUGUUCAUUCCGCUUUGGGAGAAAACCAAGAUCUCAUGGAUUAAAGGCUCAAACUGGGCUUUAGUCAGCAUAUUCCAUGCUAGGUGCAAAGUGAUUAUCUUAGCUAGCAUGUGAAGUGAAAAUAGUAGAAACAUGCCACGAGUGAGGUGACCAAUUUGCCCUGUCACUGAGCCAGUGUUUCCUGUGUAUUUUUACAGUACUCAUUACUUGAAAGUCCUUUUUGUCCUUUCUGUUGCUUCAUUUCUUAUCCUCAGAAAGGUAAUUUUUGUGGAAUUUUCCUGAAUUUUCCCUAACUCUUUCCAUGGCUACACUUUUUGCAGUGAACAUUCAGAAGGCGCUGCUGCUGAUGUGCCUGACCUCCUAUAACUUCUGUUUUGGAUGUCCUGUGGGAAAUAUCUCCUUAAAACUGUGUUACUUUUUAGGCAGGUAUUCACAGUGAUAUUGAGGUUUUACUGAUCUGACCACACAAGAUAAGUAAAUCUUCUUCAUAUGAAAAGUUAGAGGAAACAGCAGUGCAAAUCCCCAGGUUUGUGUGCUGCAUGAGCUCCCUCCACCUGUUUGAAGCAUGACAGUAGCAUGCCUUUAGAAGCAGAAUGUAUAGCAGCUCAAGUGCAGUCCCCAUGCUCUGCUGAAAGCACUAGGGCUUGCUUCCUCUUCAAAGUCUCAACUAGUCCUGCAAAUUUUACUCCUUUAAACAACAGGAAAGAAAUUACAUCCCCCCCAGACCAUUGCCUGUUCCAGGCCCCCUUGUGAAAUGUCAGCCACAGAAGAAUGUGCACAUAUUUAUGAAAUCACUUCUCAUAUAAUUUUAGUCAAAUUAGUAAGUACCACGGACAUUUAAAUAAUGAUUGUUAGGACCUAAUUUUAAACAUUUUGAGAUGAAUACAAGUGGUUAACUCCUCUCUACACCAUUGUUUCUGCUUAUCUGAAAGUUCAUAAACAAAGCUUUCUGUUAUUUUAACCUUAGUGUUUGAAGGCAUUCUUUGAAUUUGAUUUAUUAAUGGUUACUUCUCUGCUCAUUUCCCUUAGAAAUAACCACCUGAGUACCUCAAGUAGACCUCUUUACUGAUUUUGAAUGUGUACUUCAUGCUGUGGCAAACUUCAGCUGACAAAGUGUAAGCGUGUGAAGUCAAUCUGAAAAUAAGAUUAUAUUAAAAAUGUCUUCUCAUCUUGUAGCAGCAAAAUAAUUAAUCUCCAUUAGUCAUCACCUAAUUGGAAGUAUGUACAACAGUCAAUGAAUCAUUAGGGAUUCAGGCUUUGGUUUUUAGAUGUAUAAAAUCUAACCCUUCCAUUACGGACUUACAUCUUGUUGUAGAAACUACAUUUUACUAUCCAUAUUAGAAAAUCCUAUAAAGACUGCACUUUAACAGGAAUAAUUGUACAUGGAGACUAAAGCACAUAGAAAGGACAAAGGAAAAGUCCUAAGACUGUUAAUGAAGAGAAACACCAAGUUGUCCUCUUGACUUCAUAUAACAACAAUCUAUCUUGUCCUUUGGGGUGGCAAAUGGUUUCCCUGCCAGGAAAGGAUACAACUACAUCAGAUUAGGAUCAAAUUCAGAAAAGGUGUAUUUGACUGUUGGUUUUAGGUAAUACCUCCUUAUCCCAUAUGUUGAUAUCAAAAUACACCAGAACACACGAGAACUUCUGCUUGUAAGAUCAUCAUUUAGAAGGAAAUUUAGGAGGGCACAAUGGUCUGUCCCAAACAUAUGAAAGGUUAUUGAUAGGCAUAAGUGGGUAGAAAUAUUAUGCAUGUCUGAAAUGUGUUAUAGGAAAAGUGAUCAUUUUUUUUUCAAGGAAAUAGGAAGAAUAAGGUAAUUUAAAAUUUUCUGGUAUUACUUUUGCCAAGGAAAGGAAAUAUCCCACAUUUGUUGAUAUGUCACAGUCUCCAGAAUUAGUAAAAUAUGGAUUUGCUGUAAUAUGAAUAAAGCCAUCUCCCUGAGCACUUUGUUUGUGCAUGCUUGGCUUUUUUUUCUUAUUUAGCCAACCUUUCCCUAGCAGUGGAUCAAUCAUUUCUGCACCUUGUCUGCAAUCACACAGAAGCAUUUUAGAGUAGAGAGGAUGAAUGAUGAGCACUUCACACACAUACUGGGGCAGCUCUAUUCAUUACCUUAAUACAAACAUACAAUACUCACAAUGAUCUUUGUGGUCACAGAAAAAGUUGUUGGAUAAGAGAUUUCCUAAGAAAAAAUACCUUUCAGAUGGAGCCAAAGUAAGCAGCCUCAUCUGCUCCCCUCUCUUGACCUUGUGGAGGUCUGUGUAUGGUGCAUCUGUAAAAAAUAGUUCACAGAGUUCACAGACUUUUUCAUGUCAAUGGGUUUGGUUUUGGCAUAAUAUGAAAUGAUAGGCAGUAUUGCCCUAUUCUGGCAUCCUUCAGCUAGUACUGUAAAACAUGAGCCCAGAAGUUGAUCAGAAGCAAUGAUAUGGUCUCACUAAUAGAACAAUACUCCUCUCAAAAUAUAUUGUCUGCUGUGCACCCUGCUUUUGUAACAGAGAAAUUACAAAUAGGGUUUAGAAUGGGGCUAGGCCAGCGCAUUAAGUAGGAUCCCAUAAGAGAGUUCCAGCGAGGCCUGGGGCUCUGCAAUUCUUUCAUAGCUGAGAGGGCAGCAUUACUGGAAACAUCUUCAGUAUAUAUCCUUGUGAACAGCUUCCCAUGCUCGGCAUAAACUAACCAGGAGCCAAACUUUCUCCCCUGGCUCUUUGGCCAAUCAGACUGCAUUUCAUUUUCUGUGGGACACUUGUGAAAGAGGAACCAGAGAAGCAUUUGCAAGGAAGUCAGCAAUUGCCUAAUCUCCCACAAGUGUGCUGUUCAGAAUUUACACUAAUAUCAGCUUUUCUUUUGUUUGUGAACAUUGCAGCAAAUCUUCCAUUUUGUUCUCCAGGCCACACUGGUUCCAGCAACUGAGAGAGUGGGGAAAAUAGUUAUGGGACAGACGAAAACUUCAGUCUUACCAUUCAGAGAUAGAAGUAGACCUGAGUCCGGUGUGUGUGAUACAUCUUGGAUCCAAACUAUUUAGGCACCUAUUUCUUGAGUGCUGCAUGAAUACAACUACAACAUGAGUAGGCUGACAGGGGAGCAGAGAGGAUACACUUUUUUACUGACUUACAUGACUAGGAUGGAGCACAAAAAUGGGGCAAAAAGAAAAAGCAAACAAGGAUGAGAUCUCUUUCAUUUUCCUUCAUUUGCCAUUUCCCAUUCAAUCUACAUACAUUAUGAAUGUAUUUAGAGACUGUGCAUUUGCUAUAUGACAAUUCAGGGCACUAACCAUUUGAUUCUGGAAGAGAUUUUAUUUGGACAUCUGUAGAAAUAGUCCUUUUUCUCACUUGUCGAGGUGAAGCUAUGACAAACAAAGUUAGACAAAUUGCUGUUCAAGAGACACUAGCUACAGUACGAGGAGUCUCAAGAAAAUUAUAAGCUAGAAAAAACAAAGCAUAACUGAAUAUGUGACGCCAAAACGUCUCACUUCCCUCUCUCCAUCUUCAAUUAUUUUUCCUUCUAAACAAUCUAGGGGACUGGGGAGAUAAGAUCUGUUUUGAAAAAGGAAGUAAUGAAGUAAAACUGGGGAAAUAAAAAACCUCUAGAAGAUAAAGAAGAGUUGGAGAUAGUUGUAUGUAAACAGAAAACCUGAUGUAGAAUACCAGAAUAUUUAUUUAAAUGUUGUGCAAUUUGAAAGAACUCAUCUUCUUUUCAACCUGUAAAUCAAUUUCUCCAUGAAAUAUGGAAAAAAAGGUCCUACCUUACUAUUAAGAUUUAUAUAUCAGCAUAGAAAAAGUUUGCACAGUUAACACAGUUAACAUCCUGUUUGUCAAGAUCAUCUUGAUCUAAUUCUCUUGUCAGCAAAGCCACUUUAUGAUAAAACCUUAACUCACAAUUUGUUUAAUAUUUUUCUUCCUAGGAAUUGCAUAAUUUUGAUAUUCUUUGUGAUUUUUUCCAGUCGCAAAGCACUAAGAAAUCUGGUCGAGAAAAAUACAAAGCAAAUCAAUGCAUGUGAGUGGCCACAAUCAUCACAUUGCCUCUUUCUCUGUAAAAUACUAAGCAGCUGCUGGCUUUUAGCGAGGAGGGAAAACAAAGACCUGUUAGUAUUCCUGUGCACAAUUUUUUAUUUCACUUAGAGGCUGAUUUUAGAAAAAGAAAGAAACAAAACUGAUAUGAUGUCUUUCCUCUCAGGAUCAACCCACAUCCUUCAUAGGGCAGGAAGAGCAGGUGAAAAAAACAGAGUACAUUUGCCACUUCUAUGGCUUCCAUUACCCAGUUUAUUCCAUUGCCUCCCUGAGAACAACAGGAACAACCUCCAGCAGGGCGAUUAGUUCAGUGGAGAAAUGAAGUCAAGAGAAUCUGCUGAGAUAUUUUGGCAUAGGCAUACUGAGUGUUGAAAAAUCCUUCUGCAAAGGACUGUUUUUCUGGCUCUGCAAGCAAAUCUGUAGCAAGUAAUUUUCUCUUCAGAUGUGUGGCUUGUCCUCACAUGGAGAAGUGCAAGUUGCAUCAAUCUUGUUAAAGCAAAUGCAAAACAGAGGAGAAGGGGAAGCCAAGGAGAGCCUUAACAAAGAAGGGGAAGCACAGUUUGAAAAGACAGCCAGGCAGCAGGCACUGUGACCCAGGAUCUUGAACACGAAAAGGGCAUGUCAGGGAAAUGGUUUUUAUGUCAGGCUGACUCGGAGCCCCACCACUUUGACGCCAUUUGCAUUUUGCUGAUCGGGUGCAUGAUGGGACAAGGGAGAUUUCAGAUUUCCUGUCUCGUGGUCCAUAUCAUCUAAGUUGACCUGUCCCACCUGGGCCCAGCUCCCAUGAGUCAACAGAGGGAGAUGUGGUGAGGACUUGGGAACCUGACUCUGACCCCUUAAAAUGAGAACUGUACAGGCUGCCUUAGGCACAUUGCAACCUCAACUUCAAGGUGCGCCUAGAUUGGAGGGGGAGGAAGUAGCCAGGGUUUCUAUAAAAGGUUACUGCAGACAUCAUUCCAUGCAAUGAAUGAAGGUAGAGGGCUAUAACCUAGGGAUAAGGAGUUGUUAAGGCAGACAGACACCUUGGAAAUGCUGACAUCUGAUCAAUAUCAGGCACAUUUUAGAAGUUUGAAUGAGAUGUGAAGGAUGUAGAUGAUAACUGUAAGCACAUACAGAAGCUCUUCAGACUUCUGCCACCAACAGCCAGCUCCCAAGUGAAGGAAGUGGUGUGGUUGACUGGCCAGCAUGAAAACAAGGCUUAUGAGACUCUAUUUCUGGCUCUGACAAUUCUGCUGCCAUCUCUUUAUAUACAAAUGCAUCUAUUAUAAGGUGCAAUGAUGCAGUGAUUGGACAAUGACCAUAUGGAGAGUGACAUGCUCUGAUGACAUUUGUGACCCUUGCCGCAUGUCACAGCAGAAUACAUGUAUCCCCCUAUUCUGCACCGAGCUGUAUGGUUGCUUGAUCAAACUUAUGUUUCCAGAGUGACCUUCAACACAAGAUGCAGAUGUCACCCACUUUUGCCCAACUUUCGUCUCACUAGUGGUGCCUGCAAACUCCACACCUGCAGAAGGAAGAGUGUACCAAAUCUCCUGCUUCCAGGGAAGAUAUGCUUAUAAGAGAAGCUAAUGAAAUCACCCAAGAUAAGCAGCUAGGGUCAGAUGCUUCUGCGUGAUUUAUGUCAGCCACAGAAAAAUGCUUCUUAUUCCAUGGACAAUUUCUGAAAUAUAUUUCUCUUUUGUUCAGCAAAGGACAGCAGGGCUUAAAUAAUGCAAUGUUGAGAAAUUUAAUAUCUCUUUUGUUAAGUAUUCUCUGCUCUCUGGAGAGGCUCCCAGAGUCAGGAUGCUUGUAUUUACCUUCAUAACAAAUAGGGGUGAUUAAAUUUAUAUUAGUUCAACAGUUUCUGUGGUAUGGUCCUGUUAAUUUGCCCUGUGAACAGAAGUCAGCUGAGUCAGUUUUCAUCACUUCAAAACCAUACCAAGGGAGGAAUAGAAGUGCUUGUUUUGGACAUUUCCCAAAGUACAAAAAUAGUAGUAAUAAAAAUAUAGAAGGCAUAUGGUGGGCUUGUGUCUGGGGAUGAAGCUGAGGCUAAGCAAUAUGUACAUAUUUAAUUUUCCUCCCAGAGUGAAAUGUAUUUAUUCUCUGAGGCUGUAAGAAAACUAGUGAUUUAUUUUUCCAAGCAAGUGUUCACACAAUUGUGUUGUAAUGCAAUAUGCAUUAUCCAGUAUCUGAUAAAAGUAAUAACAUGGACAUCAUAAGGUUUAGAAGGUAGUUAAAUAUUAAUUCUUCAUGCAUUUCAAAUUAUCAUGAAGGGAUAGAAGGGGGCACCAAUUAUGCUAUGGCAGCAAAGUUAUAAAGUUCAUUACUUUUCUCAUCCUGCACCAGGAGGGUUAACACAAGAUAUUAUUCAGAUAUAGUGAAAAGAGGAGGUAGUGGAAUUUGAACAAGAGCAGCAUGGCAUUUCUUUGCAAUAGAUUCCUGUUUAUAUAUUACACUUAUGUAAGAUUAUGAAGCAGAGAUUGUGUGAACCAAGAGUUUGUUUUGCCUGAUACACUGGAAAAGUUGUUCAGUACUGGUUCAUCUCAGCAAAGCUAUUAUUCCUUGAAUGCUAGAAAGGUUAGGUGGGGUUGGGUACAGCAUAAAUACUGGCUGUCCAAAUUUAUGGGAGGGAGCUUAGCUCUUGCACCAUUCCUUCUGAAACAAUGAUAUUUGGGUCAUUGUUUAUGAAUCUGGCUGCCAUGAGUCAAUCCUCUUCUCUGUCUCCCUUUUACAUGGCCUAUAAACAACUUUCCAGAUGGGCUGGCAUCUCACUGUUGAUGGAGAGCUCUGCAUAAAUAUCCUUUGUGUUACCCCAGUGGAAGAGGUGUGUGGUACAGCUACUCUGCUUGCACAGUGGUGUAUGGGAACUUAAAGAUGGACCUAGCUGAUAAUACUGGCUGGAAUCCAGAUGGAAGCGUUUAUAUUUCUGCAUGAUGUCCUCCAGUGCCCAUUGCUGUAUUCCAGUUUUUCACUUCAAGAUGGGCUGAAGGGAUGAAAGUAAAUAAAAUAGAAAUGUCCAGAAAUAUUUAUUGCAGUUUAUCUAUAUUUAUCUAUUCAUGAUGAAUGAGUAUGAAUUCACACAAUCUGUUUUUUCUCAUUUGUAACUGUAGGCUUUUUGAUAGGGAAUAAACAUCUUCUAAAAUAUGUUCAUCAACCAAGCUGCUAUUCAGUGAAAAAAUUAGUUUGGAAAAACUGACUUUGAUGUUUGGGUGAACACUUCUAAUCAAUACUGAGAUACAAAGAGACAGUCUUGAGAUGUGUGAGCUUGUAUUGAAUUAUUAUCAGUUCAGUGUGCAGAAAAUGUCCAUGCUGUCAAUAAUGCCAGUGUGUGAGAGAAUUCCCUCCACUUCAUUACUUGUGAUCUCUUCUACAGCAUCUGGGCAGUCAUCCUUUAACUGCUUGGAAGUGUUUUAAAUUUCAGUAAGUGAUCCUAAUUAGGCAUCUCCUGAUCUUUGAAUUGGCAUUCUUCAAUGCUGCCUCACUGAAGUAACAAGAGUGAACAGCAAUCUGUUAAGUUAUGCUUUAAACAGAGGUAAAUUUAGCUUAAAUACUUAAAUACUAUUUGUCAGUUGAAAUCAAAUCCUUGCUUCUUACCAGAUUUUUGUACCAUUGCAAGAUUGCUGGAUCUCCAAAUAUAAAAGCAAGGGCUGCCUGUGAGAAACUUCCUUAACUGUCUUUCACAUCAUGCAGAACCUUUAAUACACUGACAUAUGCACAGCUCUUACUUCAUUGCACAGGGAGCUUCUGGGCACAAUAGACCUUCUGGGAGAGCCUGAGCUGAUGCCAGAAAUUCAGAUAUGUCCAACUCCCCUUAAGAAAUAGCACAGAAUUGUUACAUUCUGCAAGUAGGAUCACAUUUUUUCACAGCAUGGGGAUUCACCUCCAAAAUGGUAUUAUCUCCUAAAAUGGGCUAGAUGCCGAAGAAAACAAAUUUAUGCUCAUGCCAGGAUUGCUGUCAACAACCUCUUCUGACUGCAAGAGGCAUCACUUCCUCUUGGAGCUGCCACUUUCCUCCAUGUCAGCAGAAUAGUGAAGAUCAUGGUAUAAAAUUAUUGCAAAUCUGACAUUUCUUUUUCCCACUUUUUAGCCUAAAUGGUUUCAACACUUUUGACUUGGUUUACAGGGCUUUUUGUCAAAAAAUAAGGUGUGAUGAGAUCCUCAAGAUAAAGUCCCUGCAACACUUUCUUUUAAUUAAAAAGUUCAGAUUUGCAACAGGUGUCAGUUAAAAUAAACAGUGUAAUUGCCUUCUUUUUUUCCCCCAUUCAGUUAUUUCUGUAUAGCCCAAAUAAUUUCUGUGGAUUUGCUUUGGAUUUGCAAGAGAUUAGUGAUCAUCCAAGACUGAAAAAUCUGAAUUCUGUAUAAUUCUUUCUUUUUUGUGGACACAGAGUAACCACGUUGCUUGUCCUGAAGUGUGGUUCAUGCACUGAAAGUUCUAUCAUUUUAAAGUAUCUGUCAUGAAGUUCAGUCAAAAUAACCUUUGGCUUUUCCUGAAAGUCUUGGCCUAUAUUCGAAGCAUCCCACCUCCAAACUGCUCUGAGACUCAAAUGUUCAAAAGAGAAAAAAAUUGUAGUCUUGCGAGAGAAAAGUCAUAGGAUGGCUUGCUUGUUUGAAAUACUUCUAAGCAAUAAAUCAUGGACUUGAGCUCUUUUGUGUGUGUUUCGGAACCUGUAUGAAACAAAAAAUGUCUUGAAGCCAAGGAGUCCUUAAUCAAUAGGAGAUAUGUAUGAUUAGACAUGACUGAAGAUUUUCUGAGAAUGCUAUUUUAUCUGUGAAUGCUAUUGAAGCAUCACUUAACAAGAUGUUCUACAAGAAUUUGAUUACUCAGAGUCUCAGGGGACUACAGACUUGCUUUGUUUUGAAGAAGGCAGAAAAUUUUAUGCCAAUGCCAGCAUAACAGCUUCCAUUUUUCUACAUUAUAUUGUGUAAUAAAUGCAAAUAGUAAAGUCAAAGGUAAUAAAUGCAAAUAGUAAAGUCAAAUGCCAUUGCAAUACCACUUUCACAAAUAAAUAUUUUCUUUCAUGAGCAGAGAACCAGAGAUUUUUUUUUUCGUACCAGUCUGGGGACAUAACAAAGCAUCUGAACCUCAGCACCUCUUACUUGACGACUUUUUGCACACCAGACACCAUGCUGGAGCUACUCCUAAUUGCAAUUAAGCUAAAGUUUACAGUAAAUAUACUACAGAUUAAGUGACAGAAGCAACCAAAGAGACUAUCUGAGUCUGACAUACAACAGGGCUAGGGUAGAUGCUGCACUUCUACAUUUCAAAGUGUGCUCAGAGUGGGAUGCUGCUGCUGGCUGAGGGGUCCCAGUGCAGAUCCAGGCAUGUCUGCAUGGAUCCUAGAGCAGAUCCUCUGCAUGUGUCAUGCAUGCUAGAGAAGUCCUGAAGGGCAGGGAGGGCCACUGUUGAGUCCUGAGCUCAGGAGGAUGACCAUGCUCCUUCAGAAAUAGUUUGGGCUUCUCUGCAGAAGCAGAUGUUAGUCACAGCAAAAUUAAUUUAUCCACUUGUAGAUUCUUUGCUAUUAGUAAUAAACUACCAGGACAUCUUCAUUGCCACAUAUUGCCUAGGGUGGGAAACAAAGAAGGAUGUGUUUGACAUGCAGGCAUACAAGUGCUAAUGACUAAGCUUCUUUGGCCUUUUGUGAAGACCAAAGGAAGCACCCUCCAGUUUUCCCCCAGACCCCUUCAAACUGGCAGCUUCUGGCCACAUAUUUCUGUGUGAUCUUUUAGCACAGUAACAUACAUACACUAAAAAGGCAACUGGAAUCAUUACCCAUGAAGACAAUAUUUCUUCUUUCCUUUCUCUUAAAAAGCCCUAGACAGAGAGGGAAACCUGAUUUCUUACACAAAUCCAGCUGAUAAAUAAUCCUCAUUUUUAUUGGAAAUAAGGGGAAUUUUUCCCCUAAGGAAGCUGUAUCUUAACACAACCCCUCAUGGACAUUUUGCCAUAGUUUCUGCAUUCCUGAAAUUGGAUUAUCUCACUUUCUAUGUAAUUUAAAAGAUAAUAUUUUUAAAUAGACUAUCUUCAGCCAAACCAAUAACCAGAAAUUCCUAUCUCUGACCCUCUAGAAGUUUUCUUAUGGUCUCCCUUCCUUCAGUUAUUGAGGUUCUGCUCCAGUUUGGUCUAGGCCUGCAUGCUUGUAUAGUAGUAUCACAUAGGGACUCUCUUACAUCAAAGCACUCAUAAGAAUAUGAAAGAGGAGCUUCACUUAUUGCACUGCUCUAGUGUGGCUUAGUGCCAUGCUUAUUUUCUUCUAUAGCUCAUGUCCAGAAGGAAUGUCUUCUGCUUUUUCCUUGGAUUAACUGCACAUACUGAAUAGUGGCAGCUGCUGUCACAGCCAAACCACUUAGCUACAGUGAAAAAUCAUGUCUGACAAAAACUAAGUUUUUGAUGAAAAUAAAUUGCUUACAUUGAAUCAGAGUUGUUAUGUAUGACUAGAGUGAUUCUCUUCCAUUACUAAAAUUAUUCCAUUUACUCUUCUUCCAAACACUCCUGUGAUGAAACAAGGACAUUCACCCCUCCUUGGAAGAAAGUGAAAAUGUCAACGGAAUAACAAAUAUACUAAAAAUUUCCUCUAAGGGAACGGGAAUGGCAAGAAGACAGAGCUUAUUAUCUUAAAAUAUGUAGUAUUAGUGCAUUUGCAGUUAUGUUUAGAUUGAUUAUUGCCUGGAUAGUUGUGGGUUCAGGUAAAAUUGCAGACAGACUAAAACACUAUUCUGUGUCAAGAUUGUGAACAUUUCAUUUUCUUGUAUUUUUGCUUUUGUUUUAUUGUUUGUUUCAUUUGACCAAACAUUAAAUACAAACACUCUCAAA